ACAAGUAUAGCUCAGUGGUAGAGCGCAUGCUUAGCAUGCACGAGGUUCUGGGUUCAAUCCCCAAUACCUCCA
rnacentral:tRNA from 1 species